UCUGUAAGGGCUCAUUGCUCCCAGUGCUGCAGUGCAGAAAAGCCCCACUCCCACAGCCAUGACAGACCCGCAUGGAAGGAACUACAUGAGACCAGAAGCUAAAAACAAGGGUGGGCCUGGCUGGACAGAGGAGCAGAGAAGAGUAAGACCUGGAGAGCAGAUCCUGGGCAGCUUUCAGAAGGACAGAAUGCACAGAGUGGGGUGACGGCCUCUUCUCCCCUUUGGACGAGCAGCUCCUCACCUGUAUCAUUUGAAUAUCCCCAAGGAUGCUGUCAUCAGACUUUUCUUCAUUAUUGCUUUGAAGAACAAACCUGUACUUGUUUUAACAAGUCACAUCGCGGGAGACAUUAUUCUACGCUAUCCACCCACACAACCCUGGGAUUUAUUUUCAUUUGAGGACUUCUUAAACAUUCCAGCAGUCAACUGAAGGAACCAAUAUUAGAAGACAUGUAGGAUUCACCACCUGUAAAUCAUGAACUUUACUUGUGGGAAAGGCACAUACUUGCUUUGAGAUGGAAUGGUCAGUAGCACUCUUCAUGGCUACAAGAGGUUGGCUUUAGUUUUUAGUUCUGUGACACUGAGUGACUAAUCAUAAUGCCAUUACAUGUGUUUAAGUUCAUGUGCUUUCUGUCUACCUCUCCUAUACAGAUCAGUCUAAGAAAGAAUAGAUAAAAAGCAUUUGACAAUCACAGAAGUGAGAAACCUGCAGUAGAAUUCAAUCCUAUGGUAGGACAUAAAGGACCGGAUUUCACCACGUAUUAUAUAUACGGGUGUUAGUUUAUCUGGAGCAACAGUUAACCCACAACAUUUUGUCAUGUUAAUAGAUGGCUCCAAGCCAUUCCGGGGUCAGCCAACUGCAGCAAAGAAUAGCACAUUCUUCUCUCUCACCCCUGCUUCCUCACAACAACUCACUGUGAAAGACAGGAUGGCUAUUUCCCUUAUCAUCUGAUGUAUUUUCUUAAGCCAAUUGCCCGUAGCUAUGAAGCAGCCUGGGAUGAGGCUAAUCCUAGCAGUGAUAUUGCCAUUCUGAGGUAUCAAAUUCAUCAUAAUUUUUGUGCCAUAAUUUCCCCUAACAGUAGCAUUCCACCUGCCUCAGAAAAGGGCUUUUGGCUUUAAUGUUUGUACUUAUUUCUAUAUCUGGGAUAUUGAAAAUAUUAAUAUUGAGAGGACUUGUUAUUCAAAGUCAGAGCUACUUGGAAAUACUUAUGCCAGCAGGAGAGACAGCUUAGUACUUCGGAAUUAUCUGCAUCACCUCACAGGUCAGUCCUAUUGCAGGAGUUCACAGCAAUUGUGAAUAACAGCUUCCUUUCCCUUCCUCCCUGUACAGUUUUACCCUACUUAACCUUAGAACAGAAUUUAUACCCCUGCAUCCAGAAAGUUCUGAAUUACCUUUUCCUGUGUAAAAUACUCUUGCAGCACCAACAUCAGUCAGGCGAGGAUUUUGAAGCUAAGACAUAACUGCUUGCUCAAGGGGUACCAUUUUUUCAUGUAGGUACACAGUUGUUCAGUUGUCUUAAGACAUAGCUAAAAUAACUUUCUCCUAACAUUACUUUUAUUCAAUUACUAUGUAACUACAGUAUAUUUUGUGAUCUCAAAUGGCAGAGAAGGUUAACUGUCCAAAAGAGGAACUUCACAAAUGUUUUCAGCAGUAGUGAUUUAGUAUGCGGUGUUCAGGAAAUAUCUCCAGUACAGCUCCCUAAUUCUAGUCAAUGCUGCUAUUUCCAAUUUAGGAUUAACGAACAUUUCCUCUAAAGUAAAGAAGAUGUGUUUCUUUAGAAGCACAACUAACUCCAAUAACUUUAGCCUUUUAAUCUUUUUGCUAAGAGGAAAAAACAAAACAAAACAGGUAAGUCCUUACCUAGUUAUUUUCAUCUGUCCCACCCACAUAUGAGCUUUGCCUUUGUCUCACUGGGGUGCAGCAAGCAUCUGUAUUUUCUAAUUAUCUGGACUAAUGCUGGGGUUCAUGUAGAGAGCAGGAAAAGUCUGCUUUAUUGUGUGGGGAAGGGGAGGUGGAUCUCACCUUUUUGUUAGGUAGCAGAACAAGAAAAUCCGAAAGCCCUCUCAAAAGAAGUUUCAGAAACUGCUACUCUUCCAUCCAUACAAUCCCUAUCUACUGGCAAGAGAAAGGUUACAGUGAGUCAGCUGCUCCCUAUUUCG